rnacentral:rRNA from 1 species
CCCUUAGACGUUCUGGGCCGCACGCGCGCUACACUGACGAAGGCAGCGAGCUUUCCUUUACCGAAAGGUACGGGUAAUCUUUUGAAACUUCGUCGUGCUGGGGAUAGAUCCUUGCAAUUUUUGAUCUUAAACGAGGAAUGCCUAGUAAGCGCAAGUCAUCAACUUGCGUUGAUUACGUCCCUGCCCUUUGUACACACCGCCCGUCGCUACUACCGAUUGAAUGGUUUAGUGAGGCCUUCGGAUCCGCGACUCGUUUGUGGAGAAGUUGGACAAACUCAGUCAUUUAGAGGAAGUAAAAGUCGUAACA